rnacentral:rRNA from 1 species
AAAAGGGAAGCGCUUGUGACCAGACUUGCGUCCGGUGAAUCACCAGCUCUCGCGGCUGGGGCACUUCGCCGGCUCAGGCCAGCAUCAGCUCGCUGUCGGGGACAAAAGCUUCGGGAACGUAGCUCUCUUCGGGGAGUGUUAUAGCCUGUUGCACAAUACCUUCGGCGGGCUGAGGUACUCCGUCCGC